UCCCGCCUAGGCGCCGCCGGCCCGACGGCUCCUUCCCGGCCGCUGCCUCUGCCUCCGUCACUGGUUGCCUUAGUUCUUUCCACCUCUUGGCUACUUGGCCUGUCUCUCGGGCUUGUUUUAUUUUUUCCUUCCUCUUUUCUCCCGUCUCUCUCUCCUCUGUGUGUCUCUAUGUCUCCCUGUCUCUGUCUGCGUGGCCGCCCCCCAACCCAAACUCCGAGGGUGUUGUCUCCCCUUUUCUCUGUCUCCGGUUCUCCUUCUCCCUGUGUUGCCCCCACCGCCACCCUAGCCGCCCAGUUUUCCGCGUUAUUCUCUCUCCCGCUUCUCUCCUGCUCUUCUGUCCCCGGCUCUCUCCGUCGUCUCUCCUGGCUCCCUCUGCGCCUCCCCUUCGGACGCUCUGUCUCUCUCUCCAUCCCUCUGACCUCCUAUCUCCUCCACCUCUGUCCACCCCCGCCUCUCCCUCUCUGCCUUCCUGAACCCCACAAUCCCGCCAGCCCCUCCCCACCUCACACUCCACUCCCUUUCACAGAGCACUGUCCAGGCCUUCGACCCAAGGGCCUGGGCAACCCUAGGGUCAGCGGGACAGGUGGCACCACCCCCUCAGAUCCCACGAUCUGUCCCCCAAACUGCAGCCCCAAAAGGGGUUUGACAAGUGGCAGGUACAGAGACCAGAGCUCAGGGGUCAGACAUAUAAAUCAGGGGACUGUGGAGAGUAACUCUUCCAGGCCUGUGCUGAGCCCGGAAAACACCCAGAGUGAGGCGCUGGUCCUGGGGCGUGAUGGCCCCAGGAGGCCCACAGUUGCCUCCUCUGGAGAUCCAGCCAUCCUCCACCCAUCUUAUUCAGGACUCUGGAAGGACCUAAAAUCCUCCCAGAUUUAGUGGAGGAUGAGGAAGAUCAGCCGCAGGCCAGCUGGCACUGGGCCAGCUUCUCCUUUCAACUGAGAGGAGCAGGUAGGCACCAGGGCCGAGGGAGGCAGCGACCAGAACAGGAACACAGAGCCUGGGUGACAGCAUCCAUGGGUCUGGCCACGGCCGGGCACCCUGCCCAGCCCUUCACGUGUCCUGACUCCCUUUCUCCUCACAGCUGCCCUCUGAGGCUGAUACGACUACUAUCCCACCUUACAGAUUCAGAGCCUGAGGUCCCAGAGGUGAAGGGACUAACCCGAGAUGGAUGCGGAGCUCACAAGUCUGUUGGCUCCGAACAUCACCCCAACUCUCCCCGGCCCCACGGCCUCUUAGAAUAGGGGGCUCACGUGGCAGGUGCCCAUGGUCCUGGCUCUGACAGUGGCCUGGCCUCCCUCACCUGCCCCCACCUGGCCAGGAAGGAAGGCCAGGGGGUUUCUCUGUGCCCCACGGGGUAGGCAGGAAAGGCCAGGCCUAUAGCCGUCCCCCACUUCCCUCACCCCAACACCCUCACCUUCCUGCCAUCAGCACUUGCCCAUCACGUGGGCCUUUUUCCAAGCCCUCUGUCGGCUGGGCCACUGCUUUGAUAGCCAGGAGUGUUCAACACAGGAAAUCAGAGGCUCUGCUUCUGACACCCCAUCCCCCACCGCUGGGGCUCAAGGCCACUCAGGGUACAGCUGGAUAGGACUGAUGUCUGCACCUGCACCUCCAGGUGGAGAGGACUCGUGUUUUGCCAUCAGCGUGAGCGGACUGGGGUGCCCUGCAGGGGUGCAGGAGGCUGCCUCAGUGGACCUCACUCAACCUCUCCCCAGAGCCCUCCCCCAUCACCCAGCUGUCAUCUCCCUCCCCCGUCUUAUCUCGAACCUUCCCCACCGUCUCUGGUUUUGUCUGUCUUCUUGCUCCUCCCGGUUUCUCUCUCUUUGUCUUUCUCUUUCCCAGUCUCUCCCCACACCCUUUCACACUCUGUCUCUUUGUGUGUGUAUCUCUUUUUCUCUCCAUGUCUCUGUCUCUCUGCCUCCCUAUCUCGCACCCCCCUCUCCCCCUCUGGCCCAUCCCAGCUUCCUUCCUGUCUCCAGGCUCAUCUUGCCACAUCCUGCAGCUCCCCCCACUGAGCCUUGAGGAUAAUGCUCUGUGUGGUCGCAGCUCAGCCUGGCACACAGGGGAUGGUUCCAGUUCUGGCCACUUUGGACACAAACUACCUGCCCAGCUGAGCACUGGGACUCAGGAGCUGCGGGGAGCUGCGGGUAUGCAGCGUCAGGUGAGCCACGAAGGCACAGCCACGGUCCACGUGUCUUCGCAUAAGCUGGAGACGGAAGUGCUGUGUGGCCUAGGGCAAGGCACUUGCCCUCUCUGAGCCUCAGUUUUCUUGUCUGUACAACAAGGACAAUCAUAUAGCACACCAGCCCCAGGAGGUUAUAAGAUGUGAAGAACGUAAGGUGCCAGAAAGCACAGUGCUGGGCACAUGGCAGGCAUUAGGCAAAUGCCAGCUUUUCCCCUUACACUGAGCGAUGGCCCAUCAGGGCCCCAAGGCAGUGAGCAGAGCCAGUGUCCACCAAGGGCAAACGACUGUGCCCAUCACUGCUCCAUGCAAUCUCAUGCGAUUCUCACAACCAACUGACAAGGCAGAGGUCACUGAACCCAUUUCACAGAUGGAGACACUGAGGGGGGCAUUAGCAAGGUGAGGAUUUGAACACAGAUCUGUCUCCAGAUCCUACGCUUCCUCCCCUCUGCCCAUCAUUUGGGAGCUCUCGCAGCCCAGGAUGGGUCAGGGUGGCUGCCACGGCCCUACUGAGGUGCUGAUUACUGUGGGCUGAGAGAAUGAAGAAAGGAACGAAUGAACGGAAGAACCCACAUCUCCCUGGCCUUGCUAAGAGGCAGAGGGGUUUCCUCCCAGAAGGGGAGAUGGAUGGUACCAAGGAGGGCAAGUUAGGCGGCAUCAGAAUUAACUCACUUUGAAUUAACUAACCCAGAUUAACCAACCCUGGAGUGACUGCCAGCUAAUCUGAUUCACUCUGUGAUUCAGGCCCUUUUCAGUUUUUGCUCAAGACCUCUGAUUCUAUCAAGGAGAAGCUCUCUCUCUGGGGCUAAUGUGUCUUCAGUGCCUUGCUAACAUUUGUCAUUGUCCAUUUUUAAUAGAGAGGAGGUCUCAGGCGCAGCAUUCUAGAAUUUACUCAGCUCUGUUUUCUUUAUAAUAUUUACAGUUAUUUUCUGCUUUUGCCAAGUGAUACUGGCUUUCCAAAUACAAUAAUGAUGUAAAGCUUGUUUGGUAAAUGCAUUUAUCGAGGUUUUUAAAAUGUGAGUUAAUUUAAAGACAAAUAUGGAGUAGGUCAUAACCCAAGUGGCACAAAACACUUGAAAUUUGGGAAAUGGUAAUCUGAUCCAGUGCCUUUGGAGCUGGGGACACAGUGGCCCAGACGGGGCAGGUCCUUGCCUGGACGCCCCAGGGUGGGCGAACCGGCCUCUCACCGCCACCUGGGCGGGGGCUUCCCCACCCUGCCCCGUCCCUGCCCGGCUCUCGGGCUGCCCAGGGCAGAUCCGUGAGGACGAGGAGGAGGAGGAAAUGUUUUCCUUCUUCAAUUGGAAAGAAUAACAGUGAGGCCAGGGCUGCACAGGGAGGAGGGGGGCCCCUGGCCUCCUGUCCCUUGGGCCUGGCCUCAGUGAAGGCUUUCCUUGCAGGAAGUGCUCGUGACACACUGCCUGCUCCUGCAACGCCUUGAUGACAGGAACAGAGUACUCGGGACAGCUCGGUACCCCAGCGUGGGCCCUGACAGUGCCAGGAGCCACAGCCACAGUUCCUCCGGGGCUCUGCCUGUCUCAUGUCCUCCUGGGAGCAACCCUGAGAGGUGGGUUUUAUCAGCCCCAUUUUACAGACAGGGACACUGAGGGUCAGGGAGGUGUCACCACUUGCCCACAGCUGCACAGCUCACAGGCCUCCAAACCCUGCUCUGGGCCGUGGCAUCCCUCUGCCUCUUGCCUUGGAGCUGAGAGACCUGAGUUCCAGGCCCAGGUCGGCCCCUACCCACCUGGGUGACCAUGGUGGCCCCACCUCUCUUUGAGCCUCAGCUUCCUUAUCUGGAAAAGGGGAGUAUGGUCCCUCUCACCAGGCUGCUGUGAGGAUGGAAAAACAUACACAUGUCACAGGCCCAGUACGUCAGGAAGGAAGGUGUCCACUGACUUUCCAGCUCAGGGUCCUCUCUCCCAGGCUCCUUGAAUCCAUAGUCUGUACCCCUCCUGGGAGAGGCCCCCACACCCGGAUAAUGAUGCCCUCCAUCUUCACGGCGCUGCCACUGAGACGGGGAGUCCAUGCCAGUGCCGUCAAAGGCACAAAGGCACAAGAUCACUUCCUGUCAUUAGCCCUCCACCAGGCCUCCCUCCCUUCUUCUCAGAAACUGGGACACCAAGGCGCAGAGAGGCCUAGAGACCUGCCUGAGGUCACACAGCAGAGGGGUAGCCCGAAGUGACCCCUGCCUCUUCUCUAGUCAGCUUUGUCCUGCCACACUGGGUCUGCUGUCAUUGCCACCACGUCCUACUGGAGUGGCCCUCAACGGGCUGGGUGACCCCUGAGUGGCAGCACCGACAGGAGACACAGCACCCACCAUGCUGCUGUGUUUCAGCUACAGAGAGCUGGUGUUUCCCCACCGCAGACUCUGUGAAGGACCAGGGGGUUUAGCCCGCUUCAGAGUUCUGGAAAGUUCCCUCCGCUUCCCCCACUGGAUGCCCCCCAGGGGCAGGAUGGGCAGGAGGCAGGGGUGGCCUUCUAGGCCUGGUUUCAGGGCUCAGGACAGGGGCCUGUCCUUGCCUGUGACGGCUCCUCCACUCGGUUCUCUCUGUCUUUGUCUCCCCGAGGGGCUGGAGGAAAUGGUUCUCAUUCCUGCGUGUGGGAGACGCCCUCUCCUGACUCUGGGCACAUCCCUGCCCUCUGCGGUGGGGACACAGCGGGCGGCAAGCUGGGGUGGGGACCCGGAGCCCCCUUGCACCCAUCCCGGGCGCCUGGCCUGCCGAGCCCCCGCGUGGCCCCUUUGUGCUCUGUGAGUCGGAUAAUGGGCGGCAUUCUCAGACGUCCAGUCAUGGGUCUGGGCCCGUGAAAGGACCCCAGCAGCUCCACACUGAGGCCUCUGUCCAGCAGCAGUGGUGGGGGUGUGCAGGGCCGCCCCGGGGGACCCCACCCACAUUCCCGGACUGCUGCCAUCUCCAGGGGACAGCUGCUGGGGCAGGCUGGGGGGCAGGUAAUCCCUGAGCAGAUAGUAGGUGGUCCACAAAUGGAGCCGCAGGGACAAGGGAAAGCCCAGAGCUGAGAGGACAGGGAGUGAUGUGGACUGAGCACCUGCUGUGCACCAGCCAUUUCUCAGCCAGCCCUGGUAAAAACCAUUGAAGGUCUGUGCUACUGACCCCAUUUGAUGCAUGAGUAAACUGAGACUCAAAGAGGCAAGGCCAUGGUCCUGGAUUUGAACCCAGGCCUGUCUGACCAUGCUCAUUCCAUUGGACACUGAAUGAGCACCUACUGUAUGCUCUGGGACACAGCAGUCUCAAUGCCCUGAGGAUAUACAGAGGAGCAUUCUGCCAACCAGGCCCGUGGGAGCAAACAAGGCAGGCUUCCUGGGGAAAGGGGCAGCUGAGCCAGGAGCCCCCACAGGAUUACCGAGUCUCCAACACAAUCUUUCACACGGCAGGACUAUGAGGUCCAUUGACAGAGGACGAGACCGAGGCUCAGAAAAGGGAAGUGACUUGCUUGGGGCCACCCAGCUGCUCAAGGUGGAGCUGGAAUUUUCAGGCCUGGCUGUUUAAUCUUCUCCAGGAGUGGGGUCCAGCCAAGGCUAUGGAGUUGAGUUGCCAUUCUGUGGUCCUGGGACCUGAGUUCAGAUCCCCACCCUCCGCUUCCCAACUGUGUGACCCAGGGUGAGUCCCUUUGCCUCUCUGGGUCUCAGGUUCCACACCUGUGAAAUGGGUCUAAGAGUCCCCACUCUCCAGGCUGUGGGAAUCAAAUGAGAUAAUUCCUAGAGAGCGUGGAGCCAGCACCUGACUCACGAUAGAUAAUCAAUGACAUUUAUUAUUAAAGCCACUGAUGCGGAGGCGAUGUUGCUGCUGCUACCAUUCCCCCCACCAACUCCAGCUUCUGGAAAGUUAUGCCCGUGCCCUGCCCUAGCUAGAUGGAUCCCCGAACUGCCUGGGUUUUUGUCAGGUGCCCACAGGGGCAGCUCUUCUCCCUGUCCCAUCCUCCUCCCUCUGCAGCCAGGGCCUCAUCUCAGGACCCUUUUGCCCCCUCUAGACUACAUCAUCCUUUGGGCUUCAGUUUUCUCUUCUGGAAAAUGGGAUGGUGCAUCUGCCCACGGAGGAGAGUUGGCCAGUGAUGUCCGGUCUCUGCUCAGGGCAGCACUGGGUCUUUUCCUCAGUGGCUCCCUGGAGUCCAGCGCUUAGUAGGUGCUCCCUAGACCUGGCCUGGAACUGAACCAAUUCUGAGAUCCCUCCCACUCCAGCUGAGCCCUUGCUCCAUGAUGAGCGCACACAAGAACUGGAUGAACCUCACGGCUCCAGGACAGGGCAAUGAGAUGCUCCCUCCCAUUCAGUCACACACAAGGUGUAUGCAAGAGUCUGGCGUGGAUGAGCAGAGCCCAGAUCUCACCAGCUGUGUGGCGGACAGGAGUCCCUAAAGAGAACCCAGCAUCUGGAGAAGAUGUGUUUCCUCUCUUGUUUUUUAGGUCAACUUGCAUGCACCCCUCAAGACCCAGCCCAAAUGUCACCUCCUCUGGAAAGUCUUUUCUAGUGAACUCCUAGGCAUCCCUCAAGGCCUAGUCUAAAUGGCUCUUCUUCUGAGAAGACUUCCUUGAGCCCUGAAGCAGUAUUAGGAGCUUCUCCCAUCAAACUGCUUACCACACAGUAUGAGGGCGUUUGUCCUCCCCAGUGGCCUGGGAGGUCUUCCAGCGUGGGACACAGUCACUAUCCAUAAAUGCUGGGAUAGAUGGAUGGCUGUAUCACCACCCCAGGACAUCUGCCGGGCAGACAGGAUGGUCACUCUGCUGCUGGAGACCCCUUCCUGGGCAAUGCCAGACAGACUCUGCCAAAGGGGCCUCUCUGACCCCCGUUUUGUCCACAUGGCCACACUGACCCCCCAGCUUCACAAAACCAGGCCACAGCAGGCCAUCCUGCUCUGUGCACUUCAGCCUGGGAGACCCACUGGCCCUCAGGGUGACCCCUCACACCCAAUUCCCUGGGUAGUUCUGAGGGUCCUGCCCUCUCCUGGGUGAAUAAAAUGCUAGGACAGAGGUCUUCCUUCAUUCAACAACCAUUGACCAAGCACCUGCUAUGUGCCAGGUAUGGGGGACAUUAUGGGAGCCCAACAGGCAUGGUCCCCGUCCUCAGCCCAGCCUCAUAGGGGAGACAGUCUUCCAUCAAGUAACUCACAUAAUUACAUAACCGCAAAGGCUGCAGGCCCUACGAAAGGCGAUACCAAGGGGUUCUGGAGGGUUUCUCACAGGGAGCUUUAGCCCAUGUUGGGGUCCACAAGGGCUUCCCUGAGGCAGUGACCUGUAAGUGAGAUCUGCAGAAUGCUGCAGGGAGAGCUGUCCUGCAAGGGAACAAGGACAAAGGCUGGAGGGAGCAGCCCGUGGGCCCUGGAGGGGCAGGACACAGGUGAGGGGGCUCUGCCGGGGCUGGAGGGCUGGGCAGCGCUGGGGGAGCCUCUGGCUGCCUUGAGUCCAGGAGGCAGGAGAUGGCUCUCAGAUGGAGCGGGGAAGGAGGAGAAUGACUGAGGGAGGCCCGGGAGGGUGCUUCUGCAGAUGCCCAGGCAGGUGACAGCAGGGGCCUGGAUGGGGGAGGCAGAGGUUGGGGAGGGAGACAGCCAAAGGCGGAGAGCAGGCUGUGCAAUGGGGUGAGGAGAGGGAGCUCCGAGGCCACGAGCUUCACCAACCAGGGGUUCCUCUUUCGGAGUCAGAGAGCAGCAGGGGACCAGCACAUUGGUGGGGGCUCUCAGAGGUGUUAAGUUCAAAGGGCCUCUCUUGGCCACAGGGGCCUCCCCGGUCACUGGGUGCAGAGUCUGCCCUGUCUGCACGCUGGCAGGCAGCCUUCCCUGAUCUCCCAGGCUGGAAGGGGGCUCCCAGGACCCCAGGCUGCCACCAUCAGCGCAACUACAUUUGGUGACGAUGUGUCUUUGCUCUGGCUUCCCUACCAGCCAGGGUGCAUCUCAGGAGCUGCAUCUUGUUGUGGGGGUACCUGCGUCCCUCAAAUCACCAGGCAGAAGGUUGGACACAAAGCAGCUCAUGAGGGUGGGAAGGAAGGCGUGGCAGAGUUAAGUGACCAAAGUCGCGGACUGAAUGCGUGGCAUGGCCUGACGCAGCCCAGUCCUCCACCGCGCUGCACUCAAAGAACCCCGGAGGCGCCCGGACACCCCAUCCCCUCCUCCUACCCAUCCAGAGGCCACCCCCAAUCACUUCUCGUAGGUCUAAGACAACUUCAUCGGUCCGAGCCUCACCCCCUCCUGCCUCUCCCGGAAUCACUUCUCCUUGAAACAGCCUGAGGGACAUUUUCAAAUUGCAAAGCUGUUCAUGCUGUUUUUCUACAACUUGAAACCCUGCAAACAAUCUUUGGGAAAAGUCUUGUCCCUUCUGCCUCGUCCACAGCCUCUGAGACCCCACACCCUCCCUGCACAGGGCUGUGGGCACCCUAGUUGGGGCAUUCUUUGGUUAAUGUCUGCAGACACCCGAGGGCAGGUCCCCAUCUGCCUGUCCACUGCUGCUGCCCCAGGGCAAGGCCCCCAGGAGGUGCUCUUAUCCCUAAGUGAGCACUGAACGAGCCCUCAGGCUGGCGUGGUGUCCAACAGAACACAGACUUAUGGUGGGUGCACGGCAGAGAGGCUGAACGGCUGCCCGGGGAGGGAGCCCCCAGUGCCUGCCCAGCGUCCAGGGGAAGCUAUUUCCAGCUCCGGGAAACAGGAAGUGAGUCACGGCCGAGAAGGCCGGCCGGACGCUCCGCACCUCGGGUGCAAUUGAUGAGCGCCCGGACGGAAGGGCCGGCCGCACCUCGGGAAGCAGGAAGGAGGCCUGGAGGAAGAGGAUAGGAGGAGAGACCCUCUCCCCAGCAAAACAGGCGGCCCUGAGGGGCCCCAGCGGAAGCAGAUGAGGUCAGCACAGAUGCGGCCACCAGCCCAUUGUCCCACCACACCUGGGGUAGGCCAGUGGAGCAGGAGCGGCCACAUACCAAAACCCCCCAACCCAACCGACAGCCAUCCUGGGCCUGCCCACGGCCUGCACUUAUCUCGUUUAGUGCGCCUCCCCCGGCCCCGCGAGCACAGGGUCUUACGGGCCCCGCUUUACGGAAGGCCAAAGAGAGGCAGAGACUUGCCAAGGCCACAUAAACAGACAGGAUGGCGUGGGACUUGAACCCAGCUCUGUGUGACCAUGGAGAUCUCUCAGACGGUACAGGAGACUCAGGGGACACCAGCACUGGCCCGGAGGCAGCCACCAAGAAUGUCUAGGGCAGGUGUCUGAGGCCCUGGCUGGAUUUCAGUCCCACUUCAGUCUCUACCUGAAAACAGGAU